rnacentral:rRNA from 1 species
GAUGAACGCUGGCGGCGUGCCUAAUACAUGCAAGUCGAGCGAACGGACGAGAAGCUUGCUUCUCUGAUGUUAGCGGCGGACGGGUGAGUAACACGUGGAUAACCUACCUAUAAGACUGGGAUAACUUCGGGAAACCGGAGCUAAUACCGGAUGAUAUUUUGAACCGCAUGGUUCAAAAGUGAAAGACGGUCUUUCUGUCACUUAUAGAUGGAUCCGCGCUGCAUUAGCUAGUUGGUAAGGUAACGGCUUACCAAGGCAACGAUGCAUAGCCGACCUGAGAGGGUGAUCGGCCACACUGGAACUGAGACACGGUCCAGACUCCUACGGGAGGCAGCAGUAGGGAAUCUUCCGCAAUGGGCGAAAGCCUGACGGAGCAACGCCGCGUGAGUGAUGAAGGUCUUCGGAUCGUAAAACUCUGUUAUUAGGGAAGAACAUAUGUGUAAGUAACUGUGCACAUCUUGACGGUACCUAAUCAGAAAGCAACGGCUAACUACGUG